GUUGUGCGGUGGAAAUGGAAACUGUAUCGGGUCCAUAAACUGCACAAAUUUUAUUGGCGGCUUGAGAUGCAUUUUUGCCUUUAUCGUAGUAGUACUGUAAAAUAUGCCGUAUUUUCUCUUUAUUUUGCUCCAUGCUUGCGACGCUAUAACUCACGAACGACUUAAAAGAAACGACAAUCAAUCAAACACCGCAUGAAAUGAGCUUUCCAAAAAGGUAUAGCAUGACCCGAUGCGACGAAUAAAACUAGAACUACG